AAUAAACGCAACCAUGCAUUUCCGUGCCCAACAUUGAUUGUCCGUCUUAUUUAAAAUAUUUUUAUUUUUAUGAUUAAAAUUUUUAUUGUUAUUGGAUUAUAAAACAUGAGUAGUAUUUCAUGUAUGGCUUAUGUUAUUUUGGUUUUCUUAAAAAAUAUUAAAUAAGACAUAUGUUUAAAGUUAAAGACGGAAAUUGAUAGAUG
rnacentral:pre_miRNA from 1 species